rfam:Roseovarius nubinhibens ISM scf_1099451318306 genomic scaffold, whole genome shotgun sequence.
CGAUCGGGAGGCACGUGGUGGGACACGCGCCGGGAAUAGAUCGAACCCGUUGUCUCUGAUGGGUGUGGUGCCGGGGCCCGACGGCAGCUGCA